rnacentral:rRNA from 1 species
UACGUAGGGCGCAAGCGUUGUCCGGAAUUAUUGGGCGUAAAGAGCUCGUAGGCGGCUUGUCACGUCGGGUGUGAAAGCCCGGGGCUUAACCCCGGGUCUGCAUUCGAUACGGGCUAGCUAGAGUGUGGUAGGGGAGAUCGGAAUUCCUGGUGUAGCGGUGAAAUGCGCAGAUAUCAGGAGGAACACCGGUGGCGAAGGCGGAUCUCUGGGCCAUUACUGACGCUGAGGAGCGAAAGCGUGGGGGAGCGAACAGG